rnacentral:rRNA from 1 species
UACGAAGGGGGCUAGCGUUGCUCGGAAUCACUGGGCGUAAAGCGCACGUAGGCGGCUUUUUAAGUCAGAGGUGAAAUCCUGGAGCUCAACUCCAGAACUGCCUUUGAUACUGGAGAGCUUGAGUCCGGGAGAGGUGAGUGGAACUGCGAGUGUAGAGGUGAAAUUCGUAGAUAUUCGCAAGAACACCAGUGGCGAAGGCGACUCACUGGCCCGAUACUGACGCUGAGGCGCGAAAGCGUGGGGAGCAAACAGG